rnacentral:rRNA from 1 species
GGUGAACGCUGGCGGCGUGCCUAAUACAUGCCAGUCGAGCGAACAGACGAGGAGCUUGCUCCUCUGACGUUAGCGGCGGACGGGUGAGUAACAUGUGGAUAACCUACCUAUAAGACUGGGAUAACUUCGGGAAACCGGAGCUAAUACCGGAUAAUAUAUUGAACCGCAUGGUUCAAUAGUGAAAGACGGUUUUGCUGUCACUUAUAGAUGGAUCCGCGCCGCAUUAGCUAGUUGGUAAGGUAACGGCUUACCAAGGCAACGAUGCGUAGCCGACCUGAGAGGGUGAUCGGCCACACUGGAACUGAGACACGGUCCAGACUCCUACGGGAGGCAGCAGUAGGGAAUCUUCCGCAAUGGGCGAAAGCUUGACGGAGCAACGCCGCGUGAGUGAUGAAGGUCUUCGGAUCGUAAAACGCUGUUAUUAGGGAAGAACAAAUGUGUAAGUAACUAUGCACGUCUUGACGGUACCUAAGCAGAAAGCCACGGCUAACUACGU